rnacentral:rRNA from 1 species
UUAAGUUAGAAAGGGCGCACGGUGGAUGCCUUGACACUAGGAGUCGAUGAAGGACGGGACUAACGCCGAUAUGCUUCGGGGAGCUGUAAGUAAGCUUUGAUCCGAAGAUUUCCGAAUGAAACCCACCAUACGUAAUGGUAUGGUAUCCUUAUCUGAAUACAUAGGGUAAGGAAGACAGACCAGGAACUGAAACAUCUAAGUACCUGGAGGAAGAAGAGCAAAUGCGAUUUCCUGAGUAGCGGCGAGCGAAACGGAACAUAGCCCAAACCAAGAGGCUUGUCUUGGGGUUGUAGGACAUUCUAUACGGAGUUACAAAGGAACGAGGUAGACGAAGCGACCUGGAAAGGUCCGUCGUAGAGGGUAACAACCCCGUAGUCGAAACUUCGUUCUCUCUUGAAUGUAUCCUGAGUACGGCGGAACACGUGAAAUUCCGUCGGAAUCUGGGAGGACCAUCUCCCAAGGCUAAAUACUCCUAGUGAUCGAUAGUGAACCAGUACCGUGAGGAAGGUGAAAAGCACCCCGGAAGAGUGAAAGAUCCUGAAACCGUGUGCCUACAAAUAGUCAGAGCCCGUUAACGGGUGAUGGCGUGCCUUUUGUAGAAUGAACCGGCGAGUUACGAUCCCGUGCGAGGUUAAGCUGAAGAGGCGGAGCCGCAGCGAAAGCGAGUCUGAAUAGGGCGUUUAGUACGUGGUCGUAGACCCGAAACCAGGUGAUCUACCCAUGUCCAGGGUGAAGUUCAGGUAACACUGAAUGGAGGCCCGAACCCACGCACGUUGAAAAGUGCGGGGAUGAGGUGGGUAGCGGAGAAAUUCAAUCGAACCUGGAGAUAGCUGGUUCUCCCCGAAAUAGCUUUAGGGCUAGCCUUAAGUGUAAGAGUCUUGGAGGUAGAGCACUGAUUGGACUAGGGGUCCUCAUCGGAUUACCGAAUUCAGUCAAACUCCGAAUGCCAAUGACUUAUCCUUAGGAGUCAGACUGCGAGUGAUAAGAUCCGUAGUCAAAAGGGAAACAGCCCAGACCGCCAGCUAAGGUCCCAAAGUGUGUAUUAAGUGGAAAGGAUGGAGUUGCUUAGACAACUAGGAUGUUGGCUUAGAAGCAGCCACCAUUUAAAGAGUGCGUAAUAGCUCACUAGUCGAGUGACUCUGCGCCGAAAAUGUACCGGGGCUAAAUACACCACCGAAGCUGCGGAUUGAUACCAAUGGUAUCAGUGGUAGGGGAGCGUUCUAAGGACAGUGAAGUCAGACCGGAAGGACUGGUGGAGUGCUUAGAAGUGAGAAUGCCGGUAUGAGUAGCGAAAGACGGGUGAGAAUCCCGUCCACCGAAUGCCUAAGGUUUCCUGAGGAAGGCUCGUCCGCUCAGGGUUAGUCAGGACCUAAGCCGAGGCCGACAGGCGUAGGCGAUGGACAACAGGUUGAUAUUCCUGUACCACCUCUUUAUCGUUUGAGCAAUGGAGGGACGCAGAAGGAUAGAAGAAGCGUGCGAUUGGUUGUGCACGUCCAAGCAGUUAGGCUGAUAAGUAGGCAAAUCCGCUUAUCGUAAGGCUGAGCUGUGAUGGGAAGCUCCUUAUGGAGCGAAGUCUUUGAUUCCCGCUGCCAAGAAAAGCUUUGCGAGAUAAAGGUGCCUGUACCGCAAACCGACACAGGUAGGCGAGAGAGAAUCUAAGGUGUGCGAGAGAACUCUGGUUAAGGAACUCGGCAAAAUGACCCCGUAACUUCGGGAAGGGUGCUUUCUUAACGGAAAGCCGCAGUGAAUAGGCCCAAGCGACUGUUUAGCAAAAACACAGCUCUCUGCGAAGCCGUAAGGCGAAGUAUAGGGGGUGACACCUGCCCGGUGCUGGAAGGUUAAGGAGAGGGGUUAGCGUAAGCGAAGCUCUGAACUGAAGCCCCAGUAAACGGCGGCCGUAACUAUAACGGUCCUAAGGUAGCGAAAUUCCUUGUCGGGUAAGUUCCGACCCGCACGAAAGGUGUAACGAUUUGGGCACUGUCUCAACCAGAGACUCGGUGAAAUUAUAGUACCUGUGAAGAUGCAGGUUACCCGCGACAGGACGGAAAGACCCGUGGAGCUUUACUGUAGCCUGAUAUUGAAUUUUGGUACAGUUUGUACAGGAUAGGCGGGAGCCAUUGAAACCGGAGCGCUAGCUUCGGUGGAGGCGCUGGUGGGAUACCGCCCUGACUGUAUUGAAAUUCUAACCUACGGGUCUUAUCGACCCGGGAGACAGUGUCAGGUGGGCAGUUUGACUGGGGCGGUCGCCUCCUAAAGUGUAACGGAGGCGCCCAAAGGUUCCCUCAGAAUGGUUGGAAAUCAUUCGUAGAGUGCAAAGGCAUAAGGGAGCUUGACUGCGAGACCUACAAGUCGAGCAGGGACGAAAGUCGGGCUUAGUGAUCCGGUGGUUCCGCAUGGAAGGCCAUCGCUCAACGGAUAAAGCUACCCGGGAUAACAGGCUUAUCUCCCAAGAGUCCACAUCGACGGGAGGUUUGGCACCUCGAUGUCGGCUCAUCGCAUCCUGGGGCUGUAGUCGGUCCCAAGGGUUGGGCUGUUCGCCCAUUAAAGCGGUACGCGAGCUGGGUUCAGAACGUCGUGAGACAGUUCGGUCCCUAUCCGUCGUGGGCGUAGGAAAUUUGAGAGGAGCUGUCCUUAGUACGAGAGGACCGGGAUGGACGCACCGCUGGUGUACCAGUUGUUCUGCCAAGGGCAUAGCUGGGUAGCUAUGUGCGGAAGGGAUAAGUGCUGAAAGCAUCUAAGCAUGAAGCCCCCCUCAAGAUGAGAUUUCCCAUAGCGUAAGCUAGUAAGAUCCCUGAAAGAUGAUCAGGUUGAUAGGUUCGAGGUGGAAGCAUGGUGACAUGUGGAGCUGACGAAUACUAAUAGAUCGAGGACUUAACCAU